UCAAUCUCAUGAAUUAGUAGACAACAUGAAAGAUGCUUUUUCCAUAAAAUAUGAAACAAAAGUAUAUUUACAUCUACCAAUGAGUUCGGCAACCAAAACCCCCGAGAAGAGUGGCUUUCCAUUUGAGAGAAUUGAGCGUGAGGGUUUGAAAAACAUUCCAGGACAUGAUAUAUCAAAAUUAGGUGGUCUACAUAGAGAAUAUGCAGUUUUGAAGGAUAUAAUUAUGUCAUCCAUGAAGAACUCUUUGUCAAGUCUUGGUUUACGGCCAACAAAAGGAGUGCUUCUUCAUGGCCCACCUGGCACAGGAAAGACCUCUUUGGCUCAAUUAUGUGCUUUUGAUGCUGGUGUCAACCUUUUCUCUGUGAAUGGACCUGAGAUAAUAAGUCAACAUCAUGGAGAAAGUGAGCAAGCAAUUAAUGAAGUUUUUUAUUCUGCCAGUCGAGAUGCACCUGCUGUGAUUUUUAUUGAUGAGUUGGAUGCUAUUGCUCCUUCACGGAAAGAUGGAGGUGAAGAACUU
rnacentral:misc_RNA from 1 species